CCGCCCCGCCAGGAGCCGCCGCGCCGCGCCGGCCAGCGAGGCCCCGGGCCGCGCCGCGCCUCGUGCAGGGCGGCGGCGGGCAGUACCGGGCGCGGCCGCCGCAGCGCUGCCUCCCGCUUGGCGCCAAAAGCCCCGGAGCGGCGCCGGCGCCGGGGCCCGGUACUAGCGGGCCGCGGACGGCGGCUGCUCCGGCCCGGCGGCUGCUGCGGCCUGCCCGAGCCCGGCGGGGCCCCUCCCGUGGCGGCGGGCGGCCGAGGCGAGGCCUGGCCGGGGCUGCCAGGCCGCGGCGCUGCGUGCGGCAGAGGGAAGCCGCUCUGCCCCGGGCCGGGCUGGGCUCUGCGGGCCUCGGGGUCGGGCCCUGCCUCGCCGCUGCCUCGGAGCGGUUUCCAGACGGCUUUGAACCCGCGUUUCCUGCCGACUUAUUAUUUUGUAACUGGCGGUGGCGAGGCCCGGCCGGCGCGAUAAAUAACGAAAUAGGGGAAAGUAGUUUAUGGUGGCGCAGUCUGUGCCGCGGCAGGGAGAAGUAAAUAGCCCUUCUUCAAACGGAUCGUGGAGAGAGCCGCUUCUGCAUGCUGUUACAGGUUUUCCAUAGGAACUGACACCAUCUUUACCUGGAUAGUAAAGGUCAUAAAGUAGGGAAAAAUAAUGAAAGGAUAAGGGGGCUAGGCACCUACAACUUGCUUUUAGUCUAAUUUAAGACUGAACAAAGUGCAGAGCCCUAGUGUGUGGUUCUAGACGCUUUUAUUUUCUGCUGAAGAAUAUGAUAAACUCUUGCAUUCUAAGAAAUAAAUACUCUGGAACUAACAUAUAGUUAGAUGUUGCAAUGAAAGAUUUCACUUAAGGCAAAAGCGCCAGCUGAAGUCUGCUCAUUUAACUGAAACUUCAUUUCAUCCUGGGCAAGUUGUUCGUCAAGACCUACCCUGAAAUACCCCUGGUUGUGGACCAAGAUCUCUCUCUCUUCCUGCAGACUUCAGAAAUAGUGACGUUAGCAAUUACUAUGGAGUAAUGUUUGAAGAUUCCUCACUUUCGGGAUUUUGUAUCUGGAGUAGACCACAGGAAAAGUCAUGAAACACCUCAGCAGAAGGCUGAGUAAUGUGUUUACAUUAGAUUUCUGCUUUCACAGAUAUGAUUAGUCAGCAGUGUGAAAAAUUUGACCACUGCUCAGCCUUGAUGUUGUUGGAGUCCUUAGACAUUAAAUAUAGAUGCAGUUUUACUGCUGGCUGCUCCAUUACUUUGCUUUGUCCUCUGACAGUAAUUUGUGGUAUCCCUGCAAAGCCCAACCUUGCUGGUAUACCUAGCUCCACAGCAGGAGUAUUUUGCCAACUAUUAGUUUAAAACUGACAGAGGGAUCUUAGUAUAGCCAUUAAUUCAGAUACUAUCUGUCAGAUGUAUAUGAUGUCCUGAAUAAAUCUCAGAUAAAUUAUGAUCAGGCCAAAUUGUUAAGAGAGGAGUAGGUACAAAUUCUCUAAUCAUGCGAUGAUUAGGCAGUGCUCCAUCUUUCCCCAGAAGAGAAGCAGCGGGACACAUGCUUCUGCACUGUUUGAAAUUCUAAAAGGCUAAAACAAAGCCUGUGGUUCUGAUAUCAGACCCAAUUAAGGGAGGUAUGAAUGACCACUUAACUGCCAAUUAACUUAAAUAUAUGCAUGGAAUUUCCAGAAUGUGCAAACAUAAAAGCUUCAGAUAAUCUCACUUGUGGUACUCUUAAUCUGGAUAGUCCAGAAAUCUCCUUGCAGAUAUGUUUGCAGCCGCUAGUGUCUGAUUUGUUGCCUUUCCUUGUUUGACCUUCACCCUUCUAAUUUCAGCAUGCAGCUGAGCUCUGACUUGGACUCUGCUUUUUUUUACAGCUGUAGCCAGAUUCACAUGAUCCCUUGCGUUUUAAUGGAUGACUCUGUCUAAUAAUAAGACCCAAUCCUUUCAUCUUUAUCCAGAUUUUACUGAGUCCUUACCUGGACAAAUUUCCAUUGAAACCAAUGGAUUUAGUUUAAUCUUUGGAAUUUUUCAUGUAUUGAUAUAUUUUAGACUACCAUUGCAAGUGUAAUUUAUAAGCAGACUAAAACAAAGGUGCUGAACACUCUUCUGGAGCAAGUAUAGUCCACUUCUGUUUUUUCCUUUCUCUAUAUCGUGUCAGGGGAGGGUAAAGGAAACUAACAGGAAAAGAAGAAUGUGGCAUUAUUACUGGUAGGAGAAAUAAUGCAGCACAAGGUUUUCAGAACAAAACGGCUUUCAGGUGGAACAGAAGAUAGUAUCGAGUGUUUACUUUUAGCACGGAGAAUCUCUUAAUUCAUGUUGAUUAAGGUGAGCUAUGUGCACAUUUCAAGGAACACCUUAACGGUUGUCCUCGGGUCUUUGCUAGUACAGUAAGCAUGAAUGAUCAAGAACUGAAUAGUUAUAUCAAGACACCAUUGUGUAUCAUGAACUGCAGAAUAAGUCUUAUCUGCCAGUCACCUGGGUGAACAAGUAAGAAAUUCUGUCUGGUGGGUUAGCAAAGCACUUCCUAAUAAACUCUGCUCUUGAAAGGUCCUGCUUUGUAGAACAAGGUAGUGGAGUGUGGUCCUUUGGUAUUGUAUUUUUUUUAAGGAACAGUCAAAUAGGUCAAGAGGAAAAAUAUCAUCAUUACUUGUUUUCAGCUCUAGCAUUUUGUGAGUUUUCAAUAUCUACUAGGUUGCUUUUUGGCAUGAGGAUAAAUUGAUCAUGAAUAGAUUUUUUUUCUGAAAUCCUAUUUUAUUUCAGUAAUAUAAAUUUUUCUUGCACUACACAAGUUCUUUUGAACUCAGUGUAAAUUAAGCUCUAGAAAAUCAUUUUAUUGUCCUCAGUUUUGCAAAGAAGCUUUUUCUUUGAUCUUUUUGACUUUGGUAUUAGUCUCUGUUUCUGGUCUUCUUUACUCCAUAUCUGUGUCUACCUGUUGAUUUUCUCACGUACGUAGUUGCACACAGCUGCUCCAGUUAAUAUAGCCUCUAAGUUUGCUGUAUUGUUCUUCAGAGAAAUCCCUGAGGUUUCUAAUCAAACUUUUCAGUGUACUGCCAUCUCAGAUAACAGCACCUAAUAGUUUUAACUACCUAUUUUUAUAAAAGAAUUCUUGUUUUUUACAUUUGUUCUAUAUUGAGAACAGUGGUUACACUGACCUGAGUGAAGGGCGUGUUUCAUCACAACGUGGGCUGCCAUAAUAAAAGAGCCCCAAAAUAUAUCCGAUUCCAGAGGGUAUUUGCUGUGAAAUUACUCUCAUCGAGGAGUAGAUCAGGAGGCAUGUUUUGUCCUGAAAACAGAGACUUGCACAUGUCUCAUAAGCUACAUUGAUUGGCAACCAAAGAUAGGAGGAAAAAAUCUCCCACCUGUAUGUGGUAAAUGCAGCAGAUGGUUUUAGAAGUAAGUUGCUUUGUUCAAAGCAAAAAUCCGUACAAGGUUAGAGGAAGACCUGUGUGCGUUACCUCUUGAAGAUGGUCAGCUGGAGACACAAAGGGCUUCUUUGGAAAAGAGGAGAGAGACUCCGAAGAGUCAUAGUUGGGGAACCAACAGUUCUGAAUAAAGAGAAAGUCCAAAUACUCUAUGGAUAAUUUUCUCCUCAGAAACUGAUCCCUCAUCAUAUUCCAUCUAAGUGUUAUUUUCCUUUGUUUUUUGGUAAAGAGGGUUUUUCGUGGGCCAUCUGAAAAUGUCCUUAUUUUCAGUCACACAUGGAGAUAGUGCAGUUAUACUUGCCACUAGAUUUUAUGGUACCAAGUCACAUUUAGAAAUGAGUGCUGUUGAGGUCACAUAAGAAAUUUGUGCAUACACUUGUAAUUUACAAAAUACUGUAUUGACAGAACAAUUACAGUUAUGUUUCCUUUGUUUGCAAGUUAAAAAAAAUCAAUUUAUUAGCACCUGUAUAUUGGUGAUACAGCCAAAUUUUUAGAAGCCUCCUUGAUCCAUUGCUAGUAUUGAGCAUUCAAUAACUGGUGAGAGCAAUCUACUGCAUAUCGUCUAUCCACCUCCUUUCUAGAUGUUCUCUAUUAUGCUGACUUGUCACCAUUCAUUCCAUAAUUACUUUCUCAAGGUUAUUUCCAUCUCUGCUCCUGAUGUGUCCAAAGCACAUACAUUUACACCUAUUCAUUUCUGACAGCCAAGUCUACUUUUCUCCAAUAAUAUCUUUAAAAUGACCAUUGAUCUUUUUUUCUGUCCAGGAGAUAUUCAAGAGUCUUUGCUUGCACCACAUCUCAAAAGCUUCAAUUUUCUUCCUGUCACUAUCAAUAAUUUCUUGGGAUUCACAUUCAUUAAGUUGGUACAGCAAAAAUUAAGCCUUUCACCAGCCAAGUCUUUCUACUUUUUGAGAUGAAAUGUUUUUUUCAGGCUUUUAUAAGGGAAGCCAUGGCUGAAUCAACUAUUCUUCAAAUUCCAUGAGUUUCUUUUGGACAGAUUCUAAAUAGAUAUAUUUGAUCCCAGGUAAUUGAAUUCAUGACCAGUCUCUGUAGCUAGACUGUUAAGUAUGAAGCUAGCUUAUGUUCUGUUUUUAUUAAAUAGAAUGUAAAACAAAAUAACUUUAUUAAUUAUUUUGUUUAUAGAACAUUCAAGGAUAGUCUGUAUUUUUCAUUAUCUUUCUAUUGGCUCUCUAAUACUUGUUACACAGCAUAAGCAGUUAUGACAAAGCAUUAUGUCAUCAGCCAAAGACCACUUAAAAGGAGUCUAUUUCAAAUUCAAGUUUUCAAUUUUGUAAAAUCCUUCCCAGAUUUUUUUUUUUUUUUGUGGUGUUGUCAAUCCAGGCUGCAUAGAAAUCUGCAGUUGUAAGAGCAGUGUGUGGCACUUACUUGAAUAACCAGGCAAUCAUAAACAAGGUAGAUUUGAGGAACUGCUGAGUGGAUGGGAUUGCUAGUAGAGGAAACGCCACUGAGAAAACUGGGAAAGUUUGGUAAUGUAUUUAGCCCAUGGCAGCUACCUAGUGGAGGGAAGAUGAUUUGAGCACAGCCCCUUCUUCCCCCCAAUUAGAUGAGAACUGGCCUAUGAUCUAUUCAAAAAUGGGAACAUAUCAAUCUGUGGUACUAACAAAUUACAAUUAAGAGAUUUCAAACAUGAAAUGUUUUAUGGAAUUUGCGAUGCUAUUGCUAAUCCUUUCACCAAGAAAAUGCCUGCUGCUUGCAGUAAAGGAAAGUGUGAUAUGAAACUGUAUAAAUAUGAACUUGAAAUGUGAGGAGAGGGAAUUUAGCAUUAUGGUGAAAGAAAGAUGUUUGAUGAAUGGGUGUGAAAUCUCAGAGCUGUAGUCUAAUGAUGGGGUCAUUUCACAAUGAUGGAUAAAUGUGCGGUGUACUAUUCAGAAUCUUAAAAAAGGGUUGCAUUUAUCAUACUCGGAGGCUUCAAAGUGUUUGGGUAUGACUCUGCGAGCAAUAGAAUCAUUACAAUUUGCCUUUGAACAAAGUCAGGAAAUAUAUUGAUUGUUUAGGUUUAUGCUGCUAGGAAAGCAGAUAAUGAUGAUUCAAUCAGUGAAUUCUGUGAACUGUUUGAGGGGACAUUCAUUAAAACACUACACCAUAUAAGCAUUUGGGAACUUGAAUAUGAAAGCUGCAAGUUCAAACCCUUGUAAAGAACAAUUUGACUUUAUAAAAUAAAAUCACUUGAAGUCUGCAA